CGUUUUAUUUUACUGUCUUGUCGCACUAUCACGUAACGUUUACAUCGAGAUGACGAGAUCAUUUCUUAUCCAUCAUUUCUUCUACGUUUAUUCUACUAUAUGGUCGUCCUAAGACACAAAGAGGGUUUGAGAUUUAGGUGAAGAAGGAUCUUAAGCCCUAACUACUCGAUGAAGCAGUUUCAGUGGAUGUAAUCAGCGCCUAAACAAUUUGGGUGGGGCAUGGGAGGCAUUUACCCCGCACUGUCAUCAGCUGGCCGAAACGUUUUCCGUUCGCAAUGAUCAACCGUUGUAACACUAGAUAUCAUA